UACGUAGGGGGCAAGCGUUGUCCGGAAUCAUUGGGCGUAAAGGAGCGUGUAGGCGGUCCGGUCAGUCGGUUGUGAAAGUCAAGGGCUCAACCCUUGAAUGCCGGCCGGAAACGUGCCGGGCUAGAGUCCGGAAGAGGUGAGUGGAAUUCCUGGUGUAGCGGUGAAAUGACGCAGAUAUCAGGAGGAACACCUAUUGCGAAGGCAGCUCGCUGGGACGUAACUGACGCUGAGACGCGAAAGCGUGGGGAGCAAACAGG
rnacentral:rRNA from 1 species